AUGCAUCUAUUUGACAGCCCUAGAGUGGUUACUAACUGUUACUAAGGUUACCACUACAGAUGCAAGAAAAAUGUGUCUGGUCUAAUUGUGACAGCCCAGAUUGAAUGGAGGAAUACACAG
rnacentral:snoRNA from 1 species